UACGGAGGGGGGCUAGCGUUGUUCGGAAUUACUGGGCGUAAAGCGCGCGUAGGCGGCUUUGUAAGUUAGAGGUGAAAGCCCGGAGCUCAACUCCGGAAUUGCCUUUAAGACUGCAUCGCUAGAAUCAUGGAGAGGAACGCGGAAUUCCAGGUGUAGCGGUGAAAUGCGUAGAUAUCUGGAGGAACACCGGUGGCGAAGGCGGCGUUCUGGACUGCAACUGACACUGUAAAAACGAAAGCCAGGGGAGCAAACGGG
rnacentral:rRNA from 1 species